rnacentral:rRNA from 1 species
UGGUGGGUAGUUUGACUGGGGCGGUCUCCUCCUAAAGAGUAACGGAGGAGCACGAAGGUUGGCUAAUCCUGGUCGGACAUCAGGAGGUUAGUGCAAUGGCAUAAGCCAGCUUGACUGCGAGCGUGACGGCGCGAGCAGGUGCGAAAGCAGGUCAUAGUGAUCCGGUGGUUCUGAAUGGAAGGGCCAUCGCUCAACGGAUAAAAGGUACUCCGGGGAUAACAGGCUGAUACCGCCCAAGAGUUCAUAUCGACGGCGGUGUUUGGCACCUCGAUGUCGGCUCAUCACAUCCUGGGGCUGAAGUAGGUCCCAAGGGUAUGGCUGUUCGCCAUUUAAAGUGGUACGCGAGCUGGGUUUAGAACGUCGUGAGACAGUUCGGUCCCUAUCUGCCGUGGGCGCUGGAGAACUGAGGGGGGCUGCUCCUAGUACGAGAGGACCGGAGUGGACGCAUCACUGGUGUUCGGGUUGUCAUGCCAAUGGCACUGCCCGGUAGCUAAAUGCGGAAGAGAUAAGUGCUGAAAGCAUCUAAGCACGAAACUUGCCCCGAGAUGAGUUCUCCCUGACUCCUUGAGAGUCCUGAAGGAACGUUGAAGACGACGACGUUGAUAGGCCGGGUGUGUAAGCGCAGCGAUGCGUUGAGCUAACCGGUACUAAUGAACCGUGA